rnacentral:misc_RNA from 1 species
UUUCCGUAGGUGAACCUGCGGAAGGAUCAUUAUCGAGUUUUGAACGGGUUGUCUGCUGGCUCGCAAGGGCAUGUGCACGCCUGUCUCAUCCACUCUCAACUUCUGUGCACUUUUCAUAGGCCGGCUUGUGGGUGCGUUCGCGCACUUGUAGGUGUCGGGCUUAUGCUUUAUUACAAACGAUUCAGUUUUAGAAUGUCAUACUUUGCUAUAACGCAAUUUAUAUACAACUUUCAGCAACGGAUCUCUUGGCUCUCGCAUCGAUGAAGAACGCAGC